rnacentral:rRNA from 1 species
UUUAAUUGAAGAGUUUGAUCAUGGCUCAGAUUGAACGCUGGCGGCAGGCCUAACACAUGCAAGUCGAGCGGUAACAGAGAGUAGCUUGCUACUUUGCUGACGAGCGGCGGACGGGUGAGUAAUGCUUGGGAACAUGCCUUGAGGUGGGGGACAACAGUUGGAAACGACUGCUAAUACCGCAUAAUGUCUACGGACCAAAGGGGGCUUCGGCUCUCGCCUUUAGAUUGGCCCAAGUGGGAUUAGCUAGUUGGUGAGGUAAUGGCUCACCAAGGCGACGAUCCCUAGCUGGUUUGAGAGGAUGAUCAGCCACACUGGGACUGAGACACGGCCCAGACUCCUACGGGAGGCAGCAGUGGGGAAUAUUGCACAAUGGGCGCAAGCCUGAUGCAGCCAUGCCGCGUGUGUGAAGAAGGCCUUCGGGUUGUAAAGCACUUUCAGUCAGGAGGAAAGGUUA